GGUAGGCCAAGGUUUUGAGAAUGGUAUAAGUGCAAUUUAUUCAGAACAAAAGGCUAAAUUAAUUGUAAAUAACGUUGUGACGGAAGAACUUAAAAUUGAAAAAGGGACACGACAAGGUUGCCCAAUUUCCCCUCUUCUCUUUAUUUCGGUCCUGGAGGUGUUGCUGAACAUGAUUAGAAGGGACCAGUUGGUUAAAGGUAUACAGGUCGGAACUAAACACUAUAAAUUGAGAGCAUUUGCAGAUGACUUAGUACUGACGUUACAGGAGCCAGAAUCUAGUACAAAAAGGGUUUUAGAACUGAUUCAAGAAUUUGGUCAAGUGGCAGGAUUUAAAUUGAACAAAUCAAAAACCAAGGUUUUAGAGAAAAAUUUAACACCGUUUGAAAGAGAGAGGUUUCAGAAUGAGACAGGGUUAACAGUGGUUAAGAAAGUUAAAUACUUGGGGAUUAACAUGACAGCAAAAAAUGGGAAUUUAUUUAAAGAUAACUAUGAAAAAUGUUGGUCAGAAGUGAAAAAGAUUUAGAAAUUUGGUCAAACUUGAAGCUUUCACUGCUAGGCCGUAUUGCUGCGAUAAAAAUGAAUGUAUUGCCUAGAAUGUUGUUUUUGUUUCAAACUUUGCAGAUUGUGGACAAAAUGGACUGUUUCAAGAGGUGGCAGAAAGAUAUUUCUAAAUUUGUCUGGCAGGGCAAGAAACCUAGAAUAAAAUUUAAAAUUCUAACAGAUGCAAAGGAAAGAGGUGGAUUUGCCCUGCCAGACCUCAAACUUUAUUAUGAAUCAGCAGCUUUUUGCUGGUUGAAAGAAUGGCUACUUCUUGAAAACACUGACAUUUUGGAUUUGGAAGGUUUUAAUAAUGUAUUUGGAUGGCAUGCAUAUUUAUGGUAUGAUAAGGUCAAAGCACACAAAGCAUUUAAAAACCACAUUGUCAGGAAAGCGCUAUUUAAUGUUUGGAUAAGAUAUAAGGAUUUGCUAGAAAAUAAAACCCCAAGGUGGCUGUCACCAAUGGAAGCGAAAGCCUUGAAAAGGGUCAAUAUGGAGGUCAAAUGGCCGAAAUAUUGGGAAAUUUUGGAACAAGACGGAGAUAGACUGAAAUUGCAGAGUUUUGAAAAACUAAAAACAAAGUGCGAGACUGGCUUCAUUAUUAUCAAAUAAUGGAGGCAUUUAAAUUAGACAGGAAAAUUGGCUUCCAGGUGGAAAAAUCAAAAUUAGAAACAGAAUUGUUAGAACCCAAUACUAAGAAUCUGUCAAGAAUGUAUAACUUGCUGCUGAAAUGGAAUACUCAAGAUGAAACGGUAAAAUCGGCUAUGAUUAAAUGGGCACAGGACGUAGGACAUAACAUUAUGUUUGCUGACUGGGAACAGUUAUGGACCACUGGUAUGAAAUUUACGGCAUGUAAUGCCUUAAGAGAGAAUAUUAUGAAAAUGAUAUACAGGUGGUACAUAACCCCAGUCAAGCUUGCGAAAAUCUAUCACUUGCCCGAUAACAAAUGUUGGAAAUGUAAAGAAACUGAAGGUACAUUUUUUCACCUUUGGUGGACGUGCCCAAAGAUUAAGGCUUUCUGGGAAAUGAUAUAUAAUGAAUUAAAAAGCUAUUUAAGUAUACCUUCCCCAAGAAACCAGAGGCCUUUCUCCUGGGCAUAGUGGGCCAAAUGGUGUUAAAAAGGGAUAGAACUUUCUUUAUGUAUGCAACAACAGCAGCAAGAAUACUCAUCGCAAAGUAUUGGAAGACACAAGAACUUCCCACGCUGGAGGAAUGGCAGAUGAAACUUAUGGACUAUAUGGAAUUGGCGGAAAUGACUGGCAGAAUCCGUGACCAGGGAGAAGAGUCGAUGGAGGAAGAUUGGAAGAAAUUCAAAGACUAUCUUCAGAAACAUUGCAAAAUUAAGGAAUGUUAGAGUGAUGUUGGAUUGAAAAUAAAUGGUUUCCAGCUAUACAGGUUAAAGUUAAGGAUAGAUUAGAUUAAGAUCAAGAUUAAGGAUGAUUAAAGACAUGGAAAUUUGAUAAUAAAAGGGAAAAAUUUAAAGGUAUAUGACAUUAAGAAUAAGGAUUAUGUUUAAAAAAGUUGAAGUUAUAUAUUUUAAUAUUUUAUUAAAUUAAAGAUUGGGUUUAAAAAAGUGGAAAAGAAACUGCUGGACAAAUAAUGUAGAUUGGAAUACAAAAGAGGGAGGUAUGAGGAAGUCUAGAAAAUAAGUAAUAUAAAAUUGGGAACGGAAAAGAGAGUUUGUUUUUAAUUGUUUCGUCUUUUUAUUGUUAAAUUUUGUAUUGUUUCUUUGUGUGUGUUGUUUUUCUUUUUUCUUUGUUUAAAAUCUUAAUAAAAA
rnacentral:lncRNA from 1 species